AUGGUGACGGAGAUGGCGACGCGGGGGGAGCCGUGGCGGCGGCCGGAGGGGGAGCGGGGGCUGGAGGACGAGAUGGAGCUCUUCCGCAGCGGCUCCGCCCCGCCGACCGUCGAGGGCUCCGCGGGCGCGCUCCACGGCGCCGACGCCUUCCUCGACGACGACCUCCGGGCCGACCCGGCCUACCACUCCUACUACUACUCCAGCGGCAGCGUCAACCCGCGCCUCCCGCCGCCGCUGCUGUCCCGGGAGGACUGGCGGUCGGCGCAGCGGCUCCGCCCCGGCGGCCCCGGCUCCGGCCUGGGCGGGAUCGGCGACGGGAGGAGGCCCGGCGGCGGCGGCGGCGCCGGGACAGGGCGGCCCGGAGACGGGCUCAUUGGGAUGCCUGGGCUCGAGAUUGGGAGGCAGAGCAGCUUCUCCGGUCUCUUUCAGGAUGACUCGUAUCAACACGAUACAAACAGGCAGGGUGCAACCCGCAAUAGUACGGACUUGUCGGGUUCUUCUAGAAAUCGUUAUGGUCUUCAUCAUGAGUCUGGAGCUAUUGGUGGCCUACAAUAUGAUAGCAAAGCACCUCACCUGCCAGGCAAUCCGAAUAAUGAGUCGACACAUACAUAUGCAUCAAUUAUGGGGUCAUCACUUUCAAGAAGUGCAUCUCCUGACCCUGAGCUCGUGAGGAGAGUUCCUAGUCCUUGCCUUCCCCCGAUUGGUGUGAAACUUGGUGCUACCAAUAACCAGAACAAUGGUGGUUCAUCUUCUUUCAACCGCAACUCUCCCAGUAUUGGUGGAUCUGAUGAUCUGGUGUCUGCUUUAUCUGGUAUGAACCUGUCGUCAUCAAGGCUAGUCAAUGGACAUGCUGACCAAUCCAAGCUCCAUCAGGAUGUAGAUAGUGUCCGUAAAUUUCUCUAUGAACAAUACAUGGACCACAAACAUGGUAAUGGACAGCACUCCUACAUGAAACAUUCUGAACAAGGUCAUGUCAAGGGACCUCAAGAAUAUUCUGGAGCUUCUAUGAAUUCUUCUAUUAUGAGGAAUCAGAUCAAUGCUGGUGGAUUCACAUCAUUUGACAACUCAUCCCUGGGAUCCGGCUUUUCUUCCCCAAGGAUUGGUUCCCGGUCACCCGGUGGGAGUUUAUCUUCCCGACAUAAUCUAGCUAACCUUGCAAACUACAGUGGAAUUGGAAGUCCAACUGCGACAUCUGGUCAUCAGUUGCCUGUUGAUCCACUCUAUGCUCAAUUUCUCCGGGCAGCAGAAAUUGCUGCUUUUGCAGCCAACUGUGAGGACCCAUUGAUGGAGAGGGGUAACCUGGGAAGUUCUUACAUGGAUCUAUUUGGUCAUCAGAAUGAUUAUCUUGGUCCAUUGCUUCAGUCACAGAAGCAGUAUGACUACUAUGGGAAUCUUGGGUCUGGUCUUGGUUAUGCUGGGAACUCUUUGACAAAUCCUGUUUUCCCCACUUCGCCAGGUGGACCUGGUAGUCCACUUAGGCAUGUGGAUCGCAGCAUGCGCUUUCAGUCCAGUAUGAGAAACUUUGGUGGUUCCUAUGGCUCCUGGAAUUCAGAUUUUGGUGGUAAGGUGAAUGCCAAUUUGGUUCCAUCACUUCUGGAAGAAUUCAAGAGCAACAAAAGCCGAUCAUAUGAGCUCUGUGAAAUUGCUGGCCAUGUUGUUGAGUUCAGUGCUGAUCAAUACGGGAGUCGGUUCAUACAGCAAAAGCUUGAAACUGCCAGCGUUGAAGAAAAAGACAUGGUUUUCACUGAAAUCAUGCCUCAAGCUCUCACAUUGAUGACUGAUGUUUUUGGAAAUUAUGUUGUUCAGAAGUUUUUUGAGCAUGGGAGCACGGCUCAGAUAAAGGAGUUGGCUGAUCAGCUAAUCGGGCGAGUCUUGGCACUCAGCCUUCAAAUGUACGGUUGCCGAGUUAUACAGAAGGCCAUAGAAGUUGUUGAUUUAGAUCAGCAGACUAAAAUGGUUGCUGAGCUUGAUGGGCAUGUGAUGCGCUGUGUACGUGAUCAAAAUGGUAACCACGUUAUACAGAAAUGCAUUGAAUGCAUCCCACAGAAUGUCAUCGAGUUCAUUGUUUCAACCUUCUAUGGUCAAGUUGUGGUGCUAUCGACUCAUCCAUAUGGAUGUCGGGUUAUACAGAGGGUGCUGGAGCACUGUGAUGAUCCGAAAACCCAGCAAAUAAUGAUGGAUGAGGUCCUCCAGUCUGUUUGCUUGCUUGCUACAGACCAGUAUGGUAACUAUGUUGUCCAGCAUGUUAUGGAACACGGCAAACCCCAUGAGCGAUCUGCUAUCAUUGAGAAGUUGAUUGGGCAGAUUGUACAAAUGAGCCAGCAAAAGUUUGCCUCGAACGUCAUUGAGAAGUGUUUAUCCUUUGGGAAUCCUGUGGAGCGCCAAAUCUUAAUUGGUGAAAUGCUUGGAUCCACGGAGGAAAGUGAACAUCUUGAGGUGAUGAUGAAAGACCAGUUUGCAAACUACGUGGUACAGAAGGUGUUAGAGACCUGUGACGACCAGCAGAGGGAGGCGAUCCUCACAAGGAUCAAAGCACAUCUUAACACGCUGAAGAAAUACACAUAUGGGAAGCACAUAGUAGCACGUGUGGAGAAGCUCGUCGCAGCGGGAGAAAAGCGACUCGGGCUCCAACCGUCCCGUGUGCUGCCUGAAGACUAA
rnacentral:rRNA from 1 species